rnacentral:lncRNA from 1 species
UACGUAAUAUGUAUUUUAAAAGACAAAUGUAUCAACUAGCUAAUGCGCAUCAGUUAAUGAUCUUUUCUGCAUUGAUUCAACUUAAAACUAUUGUCUGAUCGGUUGUCAGGUGGAAUUUUCGAAAAUUUAUAAACAUUUAAAAAAAAUUCUAAUUAAAUAUUUCGUGGAAGGGCAGACUAGAUUUUUUUAGUGGUUGAAGACUAUAAACCCUAGUUUUCACACACAAAAAAUUAUAAUUUUUCGAAGAUAUGCAUUUUCAUCAUCCAACUUGAAAGACUGUCGUCAAGU